rnacentral:rRNA from 1 species
GUCGAGCGAAGUAUUUAAAGUGGAUAUUUUCGGAUUGAAGCUUUAAAUAUCUUAGCGGCGGACGGGUGAGUAACGCGUGAGAAACCUGCCUUUCACAAAGGGAUAGCCUCGGGAAACUGGGAUUAAUACCUUAUGACACUAAACUUCCGCAUGGAAGAAUAGUUAAAGCGCAAAGCGGUGAAAGAUGGUCUCGCGUCCCAUUAGUUAGUUGGUGAGGUAACGGCUCACCAAGACCGCGAUGGGUAGCCGGCCUGAGAGGGUGAACGGCCACACUGGAACUGAGACACGGUCCAGACUCCUACGGGAGGCAGCAGUGGGGAAUAUUGCACAAUGGAGGAAACUCUGAUGCAGCGACGCCGCGUGAACGAAGAAGGCCUUCGGGUCGUAAAGUUCUGUCCUAAGGGACGAUAAUGACGGUACCUUAGGAGGAAGCCCCGGCUAACUACGUGCCAGCAGCCGCGGUAAUACGUAGGGGGCAAGCGUUGUCCGGAUUUAUUGGGCGUAAAGGGUGCGUAGGCGGCCUUUUAAGUCAGAUGUGAAAGGUCACGGCUCAACCGUGGUAAGCAUUUGAAACUGAAAGGCUUGAGUUAAGGAGAGGAAAGUGGAAUUCCUAGUGUAGCGGUGAAAUGCGUA